rnacentral:rRNA from 1 species
AGUGAACGCUGGCGGUAGGCCUAACACAUGCAAGUCGAACGGCAGCACAGUAAGAGCUUGCUCUUACGGGUGGCGAGUGGCGGACGGGUGAGGAAUACAUCGGAAUCUACUUUUUCGUGGGGGAUAACGCAGGGAAACUUACGCUAAUACCGCAUACGACCUACGGGUGAAAGCAGGGGAUCUUCGGACCUUGCGCGAUUGAAUGAGCCGAUGUCGGAUUAGCUAGUUGGCGGGGUAAAGGCCCACCAAGGCGACGAUCCGUAGCUGGUCUGAGAGGAUGAUCAGCCACACUGGAACUGAGACACGGACCAGACUCCUACGGGAGGCAGCAGUGGGGAAUAUUGGACAAUGGGCGCAAGCCUGAUCCAGCCAUACCGCGUGGGUGAAGAAGGCCUUCGGGUUGUAAAGCCCUUUUGUUGGGAAAGAAAAGCAGCAGGUUAAUACCCCGCUGUUCUGACGGUACCCAAAGAAUAAGCACCGGCUAACUUCGUG